AGAGUUUGAUCAUGGCUCAGAUUGAACGCUGGCGGAAUGCUUUACACAUGCAAGUCGAGCGGCAGCAUGGACUUCGGUCUGAUGGCGAGCGGCGAACGGGUGAGUAACACAUCGGAACGUACCCAAUCGUGGGGGAUAACUAUCCGAAAGGAUAGCUAAUACCGCAUAAGUCCUGAGGGAGAAAGCAGGGGAUCGCAAGACCUUGCGCGGAUGGAGCGGCCGAUGUCAGAUUAGCUAGUUGGUGGGGUAAAGGCCUACCAAGGCGACGAUCUGUAGCUGGUCUGAGAGGACGACCAGCCACACUGGAACUGAGACACGGUCCAGACUCCUACGGGAGGCAGCAGUGGGGAAUUUUGGACAAUGGGGGCAACCCUGAUCCAGCCAUUCCGCGUGAGUGAAGAAGGCCUUCGGGUUGUAAAGCUCUUUCGGCAGGGAAGAAACGGCGGGUGCUAAUACCACCCGUUAAUGACGGUACCUGAAGAAGAAGCACCGGCUAACUACGUGCCAGCAGCCGCGGUAAUACGUAGGGUGCGAGCGUUAAUCGGAAUUACUGGGCGUAAAGCGUGCGCAGGCGGUUUUGUAAGACAGGUGUGAAAUCCCCGGGCUUAACCUGGGAACUGCGCUUGUGACUGCAAGACUCGAGUACGGCAGAGGGGGGUGGAAUUCCACGUAGCAGUGAAAUGCGUAGAGAUGUGGAGGAACACCGAUGGCGAAGGCAGCCCCCUGGGUCGAUACUGACGCUCAUGCACGAAAGCGUGGGGAGCAAACAGGAUUAGAUACCCUAGUAGUCC
rnacentral:rRNA from 1 species